rnacentral:lncRNA from 13 species
CAUAGUUGUAGUUAUACUGUAUACAUUACUUUGUACUCUACUUUAUUUCACUUAACAUGACAACAUAAGCAUUUACCCACAUCAUUAAAACUCCCUGGUACCCAGAGCCCAGGUCUAUUUUUAUAGAGAAGCUUAAGUGAUUCUCAGUGGGCUCUGCUACCCAGCCUUAAUCACACAAAGACAAGUUAUCAGGUUCUCUCCAAAGUCCUGGCCUGCCGCUUGCCUACUGAGCAGGAAGCAGAACUAAGGCUGUCAUGGAGAGGAAGGACAGGCCAAAUACUGUUUGGCUGCCUGCUCCCUCCCACGAGCCAGCCUGCAGCCUGCUAAGUAAGGGGCCCUGCUGAUCCAGAAUUCUUUCUUGCAGAAACACAUACUGGCUUUGAACCAAGGAGGCAGGCUCACUGCUGCAGCAGCCCCAGGGGAAAAAUCCAGACACAGAAUAAAAAAGUAAACUAUGCCAGUGACUGUAUGGCAGUAUAGCAGGAUUGCUCAUCUUAAUUUCCAGAAAAGCGUCAUCCUAACUCACAGGCAAGACAAAGGCUGCCCAGCAGCCUUUACCCCUACUUUCCACACGGUGAGUGCACUGGAGGUUUCAAAAAGCCUGCGGACUAAGACCAGGAGAACAGCAGACACAGCCCACUGGGAAGCCCAUGAUGUUGACCCCAGAGUGGACUUGUGGACUCGUCAACUCGGGCCAGGCUCCUGAUGGGAGAACUCAGUGCCAAGGACCAAACCUAAAGCAAGAUAUAUAAAAUUUGAA